rnacentral:rRNA from 1 species
AUGGCCAAUACCCGGUCAGUAGGGGCGAACAAUGAGGGAGCAGGGGACACCAAAGCCGGCGCCGCCACCAAUGCGGAAGACCCCAAGUCUGCAACGACCCCCAACUCGUCUGCCAGUGGAAGGGAGUCCAGAAGCUUGUCCACGCGUGAAACAAGCUAUGAGCAGAGGCCAAACCUCAGGAGGUUGAGCCGAGAAACAACAGGAAAGGAUCCCAUUGUGAUGACCACCACCAGUUCUGCCGCUACACCGGUUCCGCAGACAUCUAUGAGGGGCAGGAGCAACCCCAGCACACCUGAUUCCCCGAAAUCAUCGGCAAAGAAGCUAAAGGGGUCGACCAGGAAGGCCAGUACCCCAAAAAUGUCCGGCGGAGUAAAGAAAAGUACCAUUUCAGCUUCUGCUGCUUCAAAUGAUUCAACUGGAGUUCCUCCCAGUCCAGUGGCUGCUCUUGGCAAAACCGUAAAAGGAAAAAUUGACGAACGUAACUCAACCAAGAAUACGCAUGAUGCUUCCGAGAGUUGUACCAGGCCAUUGAAGCAGCAGAAAAGGCCAACCGUGGAAGACAAUCGCUCUGUUUUGAGGUAUGAAGAAAGUGGCGCACAUGAAGAAGAUAACCAGGCACAUUUAAGUCAGGUCGUCAAUGAAUUUUCUGAAGGCUAUACUUCUGGUCGGUGUGAAGCUCCCGAGGUGAUACUGGAGACAGUUCUGUCGAAAACUGAUGUUGAAAAAUCUGCUCCCAUUUCAGAGGCACAUAUGACUGCUGAUCAGCGCUCACAAAAUAUUGUGGCUGAAAGCAGUCCUGCAAUGGAUGCUAGAGAGCCAACUGAUAACUGUUCAGAACUCACACUUCAUGUUGAAAUGGCCCGGAAAGCGGACUCAUCAAAAUUUGUGGAGUAUUGGGUUCCUGCUCGCCUUUCACGAGUGCAACUAGAAAUGUACUGUUAUACCCUACUUUCAAAUUCACCAGCGCUUCAAUCACAUCCAAAAGCUGACAGUGUUGGUGCUCUUCGCAACAUUCUUGUAUCCCUCCGGAAGUGCUGCGACCACCCUUAUCUAGUAGAUGAAAUGCUGCAAGCCUCACUUCCCAAGGGCCACCCAGUAAGUGAUAUCGUAGAUAUUGGAGUGUGUGCAAGUGGCAAGCUACUGCUUCUUGACAAAAUGCUCCGAGAAAUCAAGGAAAAAAGGAAGAGAGUUCUUAUCCUCUCCCAGUUUUAUGACGGGGCUGGCUAUCAAAUGGGUGACAUUUUGGAUGAUUUUGUCCGUCAAAACUUUGGUUUUGAGUCAUUUGAACGGGUGAAGCAUGGUUUCAGUUUACCAAAGAAAGAGGCUGCAAUGAGUAUGUUCAAUGACACGACUAAGGGCCGGUUUAUUUUUUUGAUUGAUAGUCGUGCAUGUGUCCCAAGCAUUAAACUAUCAUCAGUUGAUGUCAUCAUCAUAUAUUGUAGUGAUUGGAAUCCCACAAAUGACUUGAGAGUCCUCCGGAAGAUCAGCAUAGAGUCACAAUCUGAAUGUGUGCCCAUUUUUCGUUUGUAUUCAUCUUGUACAGUGGAGGAAAAGACUCUUAUACUUGCAAAGCAUGAUCGUACAUUUGAUGGCAGUGUCCAGAAUAUAACGCCUAUCCUGAGCCAUUCUCUGCUUAGUUGGGGUGCAUCAUUUCUCUUCAGUAGACUGGAAGGGCUAGAAAACGAUGCAUAUUUAAGCAAGGAUUCUGAUGCUGAAAAACUGUUCAUGGAUAAAGUACUUUUGGAGUACCUAUCAAAGUUAUCCACUGAAGAUGAUCCCAGCACCAAGAUGAGCAAUGCAGCCAUAUCACAAGCUCAUCUGAGUGGACCUUUUUAUUCUAGAGAUACUGUUUUAGUAGGUGAGACGGAGGGGAUCUCUGCACCUGAUAGUGAUCUCCCAAAGUUCUGGGUAAAUUUGCUAGGUCGGAAGUCUCCUCGUUGGCAGUAUAUAACUGGGCCGGCACAAAGAAGCUGUAGAAAGAGACAAAGCAUGGAAGAAGGGAACAUUCCUGCUGAUGAUGCUGAAGCCAGUACCAAACAUAGAAAAAUUGCUGGAAUCUUGGAUUCAUCUGCAAAUGUUUUAGCUGGCAAAGACAAUGACUCAAUAUUGCCUGAAAUUAAUACGGCAUCUAGUUCUCAUCAAAUAUCAGUUGACGACACAUGGCAGGAACAAGGGGUGGAAAAUCUUCAGGACACACAAAAUAGUCUGCACAUCCAAUUGAAGCGAGAGUUCUCAAAGCUAUAUGAAUUGUUUGAACUACCGGGGAGUGUUAAAUGUGUAUGUGAGGAACUUCUUGAGUAUGCUUUGAAGAAUUACCAAGUCAGUCAGGAGCCAAAGCAUCCAUUCAACAUUGCACUGUGCUGGCAUGCUGCGUCUCUCUCAAGGCACAAGGUUAAUCAUAAAGAAUCACUGGCCCUUGCUGAAAAACACUUGAACUAUGAGUGCAGUGUAACUUUCACUGAGUUGGUUUAUAAGAAGCUAAGGAACCUAAAGAAGAAGUUUGCACGUAGAGGAGGCGGAACAGGCAAGAACAAUCAAUCAAUUUCAGUAAAGGACAUAUCACCAUACCGGCAGGAGACCUCAACUAAAUAUGGAAAUGACAAGCCAAUCCCUAAGCAGACAGCAUCUGUUGGUGGGAACGAAUCACAUCAAGAGGAUUCACAUGAUUUAGUGAUUGAGGCUAUCGUAUCAGGAGAGAAGGAACUGCUAUCUGUUCCAGAGAUUCAUGAAAAACAAGAUUUAUCAAAGGACGCACUUCUUAGUAGAAUCACAGAGACAAGAAUUAAUUUAGUUGACAUGGUUUUUUCCUUGAGAGAAAAGAAUAUCCAUGAUAAACAAGCAAACGAGGUGGCAAUGUUUGACAUGCACAGGCACAAGGGAGUGGUGAAACUGAGAGAAGCAUGCAGAAUAGUUGUGGAACAUCUUCGUAGGUCUCAAGCUGAUCCAGAGAACAGAGGUGGUCAAACAAAGCUACUAGUUGAAUGCCUCACUAUGCUAACAAACCUAAUAGUUGAAUGGUUCACUAUGCUACUAUAUGCGUUUCUGAAGCACAUGAGGUACCAGCGUGAGAAGCUUGACUUACAGCAAUCAAAGGUGUGGACUAAGGAGUUGCAGUUGAAGGAAAAGUUCCUUCACGAAGCAAAUUAUGGCCAUUUAGAUCAUACUUUUGAUCAGCAUAUCUAUUUACCAGAUUCAGACUUUGCUAUUGAGGAAUUCAGCCACUUUAACACCUGUGUUGAUACAGCUACUUUGGCAAACUGUCCGCAGUCUUUGCAUGAAACCUCAGCGAUGGAAGUUACAUUGGUUUGUAGUGUGAUUCCAUCUGAUGUUAUCAAUGCAGAAGCAGCGAGAAAUGGUUCUGUUGAAGGAAGGCUAGCAUCAGAAGAAGGUAUUGGUUUGAGAGAGAACAUGAUCAGCAAUAGUUCUGAUAUCAUCAACUCGCGAGGAGGGGCAUCUCUGGCUGUUCAACACCAAUUAAUUUCUAGUCCUGCAAUUGAUAAUUCUAUUAAUCAGGAGUCUUCAAGUGGUGACCAUAGAAGAACUGAGCAUGUUGAGCGACAGAGUGGUGUGGGUUCGCAACCAUUACCGGGAGAGACUGACCUUGCAGAAAUGGAAGUUAACAUCGACAAUGGAGGCGGUACUCAUGCAGAUCCACCUUACUUGGAACCACAGACCGUGGCUCUGGUGCCCAGCCAGGCUUCCUUGCAAAUGUCUAAGGAAGUUGAAGCUGAGGCCAAUCUUGUAAUGCAGUCAGCCCAACCAAUUGUAGCACCAGUACAACUUCUGCAAAGAGAGGCAGAACAAGUAGACCGUUCUGGUAUAACACCAGCUCAGACUUUGCAACCUGAAACGCAACCAUCAGCAUCCAGGGAAGUUUAUACCCAGACAGAUCUGAUAAUUCAGUCUGCACAACCAAGUACGCCAACUGAGCUUUCACAAAGAGAUGUAGAACAAGCAAGCCUUUCUCGUGUACCAUCAUCUCAGUGUUUGCCAUCUGCAAUGCAUCCAUCGGUUCCACCGUCCAGUAUUCUGCUUGAAAGAACUCACCCUGAUCAGUGUCAACCAUCAAGUCAUCAACCCGACGCUGCACCGGGUUCUUCAGCACAACUCUUUCCGUUGGCACCAAGCAUGUUUAAUCAUCCACCAGUUGGUGAUGAUCCACUGAAAAAUGAGUUGCACAGAUUCCGGUUAUGCAUUGACUCGCUUAAUAAAACCAACGAGCUAAAGCAAUCACAACUUAGGACCGAGUAUAGCCAAGAAAGGGAGAAGCUCAAACAAAAGUAUGAUUUUUUACUUCAAGAACAAGAUUCCUCUCAUCUUCAGCAAAUGAAGACACUAAAUAAUUUAUGUGAGAAAGUUCUCCUCAACCAGUCACUAGCUGACAAUCUUCAGAAGGAAUUCAUAUCUUCUGGAGAACAAGUUAGAGCCCACAGCCCUCCAAAUCACCAGACACCCCAGACUUCUCAGCAAGUUCCCACGAGGCCUUCAGCGGUGGCGUCGACUGCAUCACCAACUGCGUCGUCGUCAGCUGGUCGACCACCAGUGCUGAUACAUCAUGUCCACCCGUUACAGGUUGAUCAACCAUCACCAUCAUCAUCGCCAUCUUCACAAGUGGUCAGACCACAUCCGUCCAUACUAAACAACAUUGCCAGAUCAACAUCAACUAGUUUUAGUCUCGCGCCAGUUCUGCCAUCGGGAAGCUUUGGAGUACAGAGUGAACUAGCACGUGCACCUGCUCCUCAUCUUCAGCGCAUUUUGCCUCCACAGGUGCAUUCGAUGGCAUCUGCAAAUCAGCAGCAGCUUCCAACUAGGCUGGAGAGCAUGUCUGCAAGGACAUGGUCUACCCCUGUGACUCCAAUAAAUAUAAGACAAUCAUGCCCACAGGCCGCUCCCCCAGGGAACCCAUCACUGUCAAGCUUGCACCUAAGUUCACACCCCACUAUACCCGCACCCUUUGGGCCAUCAAGUUCACAUCAAAUUCGGCAGGUUCCACCACUGGCAUCAAGUUCGCAGCUAGCACACCUGCUGUCGCCAGUACCUUCGAUUCCAAAUCCAGUUCUUCCACUAACAUCACCGCGAGGUUUGACUAUGACGUCUAGCGUUUGCUCAGCUGCGUCGAAUGUGUUGCCAAGUAGUGGCGUUGGGCCUUCCGCACCAGGCUCGCCGCAGUCAGAUUCUGAUUCAGCAUCACUGGAUGAAUGGCUAACAGAAGGUCUUGGGCUGCCCAGUGAUCCCCAUGGCGUGGCGGCUCCUGAUGUGAUAUGCAUAUCUUCUGAUGAAGAGACAGAUGACCAAACCAAGCAAAAAACGGCGCUCAUUGCUGAAGAGCUCCAACAGAAGGUUGCUUGCAAGGUUUUGGUCAAAGGUGGUGCUUGCAAACAAGAACAAUUGAUGCCCAGAUCGAUUUUAUAA